GGCUGUUGGCUCUCCCCGACCUGUGCCUUAACUCCUAUGCCAGUUUGUUAGUCCAUCGUCGGGGCGCCGAUGAAAAAAAACCAGGGGUAGAUUGUAGUGGGGUAGGUUCACCCCCUCUGAACCUCCCGUGCUGUCACGUCAUUAUUAGCUAAUUACUUGUCAAUCCCCCUGAUUAGCAGCCGCUGCCAAAACACCUUUAAAAAGACCUGGAAGUACCGGUGAGUGACUGCGCUGGUAACUUUUGCUCUCCCCCCUCAUUGAGAUGGCUCCCUGUCUGUUGCGCUUCCUUGCAAUGUCCGUCCUCCACCGUUCCCGUUGAGGGUAUUCCUGCUCUUUGCCAGCUCAGUACGGAUCUUUGACUUCGCCGCCAUUGUCUCUGGAGCGGGUGCAUGUAGCCUGGUUGACUGGAGGGCCGGACUUCACGGGCGUUGCUGUUUUGUCUUACGAUUUGGUUUCCGUCUAGUGUUCAUCUCGUCUCCUUCGUCUCCUGUUUGUAUCUGUGA